rnacentral:rRNA from 1 species
GCUUAACACAUGCAAGUCGAGCGAGAAUCGUUUAUUGAAGGCUUCGGCUGGAAAUAGAUGAGGAAAGCGGCGAACGGGUGAGUAACGCGUGGGCAACCUGGCCUUAAGAAAAGGAUAGCCCCCGGAGACGGGGAGUAAUACUUUAUGAGAAUGAGAGAGGGCAUCCUACUUUCAUUCAAAGCGCAAGCGCUUAAGGAUGGGCCCGCGUAUCAUUAGCUAGUUGGUGAGAUAACAGCCCACCAAGGCAACGAUGAUUAGCCGGUCUGAGAGGGCGAACGGCCACAUUGGAACUGAGACGGUCCAAACUCCUACGGGAGGCAGCAGUGGGGAAUAUUGCGCAAUGGAGAAGAACUCUGACGCAGCAAUACCGCGUGAGCGAAGAAGGUCUUCGGAUCGUAAAGCUCUGUUAUCAGGGAAGAAGAAAAUGACGGUACCUGAUGAGCAAGUCCCGGCUAACUACGUGCCAGCAGCCGCCGUAA